CUCAAAGUGUGUGUGUGUGUGUGGUCCUCCCUCCCGUGCAAGGUGAGUGGUGUGCGUGUGUUUUUGUUUACUCCUCUCUCCCCUGUGGGGUCUGUGUGGGUCUCCGUCUCCUCUGCAGUGUGUGUGUUGUACCUUGUGUGUGCGUGCAUAUUCCUCGCUUCCCUUCAGUUUGUGUGGUGUGUAUGCGUGUGUAUUCCUCUCUCUCCUGCAGCGUGUGUGUGUGUGUGUGUGUGUGUGUGUGUGUGUGUGUGUGUGUAUUCCUCUCUCCCUUGCAGGUUUGGGCAGGGAGCAUAUCCCUUCUCCUGCCCAAAUCUCCAGUUCAAACACUCGCUGCCCUAAAAGCCAUCCUUAACGAAAACCUUGCCUGCCUUCAUCACUUCCCAUGGAUAAACCUUUCCAGGAGCCCAAAUUAUCCAGACUGUGCCAGGGAGUGGAGGGAAAAAAGAUAAUUUUGCAGAUACAGGAAUUCCCAGGGGUGUGGGCUUGCAGAGGAAUUAGUAUCCCUUUUGUAUCCAUAAUCAUUGACCAUGAGCUUUCCUUCACCACCUGUCUCAUCUACUAAAUUCCUGUCUUCCUCUUAUGGAAAUGUAAAGACAAAAAUAUAAUGCUACCUUGAAGAACAACCCUAUUGACAAUGACAAUAAACUGAACAGGGCUAGCGUGUGACAGAGGUAGAAGAAAAGGACAUACCAACUGCAGAGACUUCCUCAGCCUGAUGAAGGGUUUUUGAACCCAAAA